rnacentral:ncRNA from 1 species
GGGUGGGUAGGGGAGCGUCGUGUGCCGGGUGAAGCAGCCGUGGAAGCGAGUUGUGGACGGUAUGCGAGUGAGAAUGCAGGCAUGAGUAGCGAUACAUACGUGAGAAACGUGUGCGCCGAUUGACUAAGGGUUCCUGGGUCAAGCUGAUCUGCCCAGGGUAAGUCGGGUCCUAAGGCGAGGCCGACAGGCGUAGUCGAUGGAUAACCGGUUGAUAUUCCGGUACCCGUGGCAGUGCGCCAGCGCUGAAUCAGGUGAUGCUAAGCCCGUGAAGCCCCCGGUUGUUGUCUUCGGAUGACUGCUGGUGUGGUGGAGCCGGCGGACCGAGCUUGUAGUAGGUGAGUGAUGGGGUGACGCAGGAAGGUAGUCCAGCCCGGGCGGUGGUUGUCCCGGGGUAAGGGUGUAGCCCGAGGAGCAGGUAAAUCCGCU